rnacentral:sRNA from 1 species
CACGAUCGAAGGAGAGGAAGACUAUCUUCCUGACGAGAUGACCAUUAAAUCUAUUGAGAUCUCACAAGCGUCACGUCUUAUGAACGAAGAAAAGUUUCUAUCCCGUCUCCAAAACCCUUUUGUUGUGUCUUUCUACGGCCACGAGGUCACUAUAGAGAAGGACGGGAAGGAUCCAUUACUCGAGAAGAUGUAUUACAACACGUUACAAGAGUACAGCUCAGGAAGAAACCUAGCGACACACAUUGAAAAAAACAGAGGAAAAUUACCGGAAGAUGAUGUGAGGAGUCUCGCUAAUGAGAUAUUGCUUGGUCUCAAGUAUAUUCAUGAAGAGAAGAUCAUUCAUUGUGACAUCAAACCAAAGAAUAUCAUACUUCCGUUUGAGAAUAACCUAUUUGCUCAGAUCGCUGGUUUUGGAAAAGCGAUAAAGAAAUGGUCGGUUGAGUAUGGUGAAGGAUUAGGUCAUAGGAUAGGCACGUCACGAUUAUUGCCCCCGGAG